GGUGUGGCCACCAAUUGGAAAGAAGAAGUUUGAGACUCUCUCUUACCUUCCUGACCUUACCGAAGUUGAAUUGGCUAAGGAAGUUGACUACCUUCUCCGCAACAAGUGGAUUCCCUGUGUUGAAUUCGAGUUGGAGGUAAUAAAAAUCGAAAAUCAUAUACAUAAAUAUUUAGAGUAGCUUGACCAUAUGAAUCUUGCAACGAUCUUAAAACUGUUUAGAGGUCCUAUGCAGAAUCUUGAUUUAUAUGUACAUAUUUGAAAUGUUCUUGAAUGGUUUUUGUAAUGUGUUUUGUAGAACGGGUUUGUGCACCGUGAGCACGGAAGCACUCCCGGAUACUACGAUGGACGUUACUGGACAAUGUGGAAGCUUCCUUUGUUCGGAUGCACUGACUCAGCUCAAGUGUUGAAGGAAGUGCAAGAGUGCAAGAAGGAGUACCCCCAGGCCUUCAUUAGGAUCAUCGGAUUCGACAACACCCGUCAAGUCCAGUGCAUCAGUUUCAUCGCCUACAAGCCACCAAGCUUCACCGAUGCUUAAGUCACUUUCUCUUAAAUCAUUCAUAUAAUAUUCUCAUUUGCAUUUCCAAUUGUCUCUGUUUCUUUUUUUCUUGGAUUUCUGUUUCUGAGACAUUUUCUAUCGAUCGGAUUGUCAAAAUGUCUGAUUUAUGAAUAUGUAAUUUAUGUUUCCCUCUUCUCCUUCUUGCUUAUUUUCUGAUGGUUAUUAGUUUUUAAAAAAUUACUGGGAUAAGGAAACAGACAAAAUCACGUCACACAAAGAAAGGUUGGAUAGUGUUAGUGGUAAUUUGUUAUAGGAAUAGGAAAACAUUAUUACCUAAAGAGCUUAGAUUUCAUAUGAAUAAUUAGUUCAUCAAAUAUUCAAAUAAGAAUCAUUGUAUCAUUUUAUUUUUGGAUGUCACAAUCACACAGUAUAAUAUGUACUUGUAGAUUUAUUAUAGAUUUCAAUCAUUUCAUAAAAUAGUCAUCUUUUGAUGUUUCACACUUCUUACGUGGAGUUUAUGAUAUGAUUUAUACCUAUACUCCAAAUUACUGGUAAACUAUCAUUGGAAUAUACGAUACACUAUAUAUACAUAUAUAUCAUAUAUAUAUAUAUUUACUCUAGAUACUAAUGACAUAUGUCAAUAGUUUUAGUAUGAAAAGCUAACUUGAGUUUUUUUUUUUAAAUACUAUUAUAGUAAAAAAAAAUUAUAGAAAGAAUGUAUGUAAAUUCCAGUUCAUACACGGAUUUAAUAUUUCAAAGGAAAGGAUGGUCCACUUGAAAUCUGUGAUAGACACUUUUGUGGACGGUGCAAUACAUAAGAUAGGCUUGUGGAUAAGAGUGAAAAUUCCCUUCUAUAAUUUUCUUAGUGAUCUUUAAUCCAUGCGAAUCAUGCGUGUCAUUCUGCUAUUAGUGUAUAGUAAGUUCAUCGACUUUAUGAAACCGUAAGAAAUCGUCAAUUUAGUUAGUUACGAAAACAUGUUUUUAAUGACUCUUUCAUAAAAUUUUGGAUUUUUAGUAUAAUAAGUUAUUGGUUGCUAGCGAAUGCAUAGAAAUGCACAAUGUACUCAAAAGAUUGGAGAUAAAACAAAAACUCCAAAUUGACUUAGUAAGGCCAAAAAUGAAAUAUAAAAUCAUAUUAACAAAAAAAAGGGGAAAAUAUGGCUCUUUGGUUCUUAUAUAUUAAAUGCAGGCCGAAAAAAUAGAUGAACGUUUAAAGUCUGUAAAUUAAAAUGGAAAUGAAAAAUUGGUUUAUUGUUCUGGAGACGCAAAAAUUUAGUGUAUUAAAAUGGUAAUAGAAAUUUAGUUUUUAUAUCAUUAUGGAGUUUUCUAAGUCCUUUCGCGAUUAUCACUUCCACAUCCGGUUCUUUACUUUUUGCUAGAAUGUCAGUGAACCUAAAAUCUACUGCAUUGAUCAUGCAUUAACCAUUAAAUGACAUCCAAAAACAUAUGCUGAUCUUUUGGCCAUUAAACGAUUAAACGGUAUACUUAUUAAGUUUAUCAAGAAGACAAGAGUGAGCGGCCAUUACACGGCACCCAAUAUAAUGAUGUCUUUACCAAUCACGUACAUCAUGCAUGCCUUGUAAUGAAUACUACUCCCUCUGUUCAGAAUUAUUUGAUGUUUAAAGUUUUUGCACACAGUUUAAGGAUUCAUUUAAUUUUUAUUUUUUCUAUACUAAAAAAUAUAAUUUAUAAUCUAUUUAAGUAUCAUUCAGCCAAUAAAAAGACAUUCUGCAAAAUAUAAAAUGUCAAAAAUUAUAAAAAUUCAAUAAAUUUUGCAUUAAAAAGUGAAAACAUCAAAUAAUUCUGAACAAAAAAACCUUCUAAAACAUCAAAUAAUUCUGAACAGAGGGAGUAUUAUUUAUAACAUGAUCUAACCAUUAGUUAUUUACAGUCCAUUGAUCCUCAUCCCACUAACAUUUCGAAAUAUUAUACGAAGUAAAACUAUAUUUCUGAUUCUGUUAUAUAAUAUGUGUUGUACUUUUUAAGUUCAUGUCUAAUUAUUGUCUGUUUUGGAUUCAAAUGGUAAAAUCCAUAUGAAUAUAUUUUUGAAUUCCUUCCCAAAAUGGGUUUUACUAAUUACUAUUAGACAUAAUUUAUAUAUUAGAUAUUCUUUGUCUAAAUUUCAAAUGUGAGAUCUUAAAUUAAUUGAUUCCCAACAAUCAUUUUCUCAAAAACCAUGGAUCACACAAACCAUUAGCCUCCAACCUCUAGUGAAACCUGGGGCAUCCAUCUUGUACUACCGUAUGCACCAACAAAACUCUUCACAUAAUCUUUACACAACCGUUAGAAAUAUUUUUCACACAAGGAACCGGCACCCCUAAUCGCGAGGUCAUCAUAAAUGUUUUUUCUCCCACAACGAAUAUUCAGCCCACACCCACUUGUCUAAGUCCACAUUUUCCAAAACCUCCAUCUAAAAACCAAUUCUUGGGCUUUUUAAGUCCAUGCCCAAGUAGCAAAUCUCGCAUGGAUAUGUUUUUGUACCCCUUCCCAAAAAGCCUCAUACUAAUUACUGUUGGACAUUGCUUAGAUACCGAAUAAUAUUUGCUUAAAAAUUUUCAAUGUGGGAUUUUGGAUUGAUUCCCAACAAUCAUCCUCUUAAACCAAGGAGCACACAAAACCUUGGCCUCCAACCUCCAUCAAAACCUGGCACCCAUCUUGUACCGCCGUACGCACCAACAUAAUUCUUCUUAUAACUCUUGUGAAACCGUUAGGAAGACUUUCGACAUAAUAACCGACAACCCAUAAUUGCAGAAUCACCUUGAGGGCUCUCCCUCCUACAACAAACAUCUAGUCCACACCCACUUGUCUAGGUCCAUCUUUUCUAAAACCUCGCUUUUAUACUUGUUGUAACAGAUGCAAGAAGAAAACAGUAAAUGUAAAGAUUGUGCACAGAAUCAACGUGGUUCACCAAUGAUGUGUUGGCUACGUCCACGGGCAAAGGAGACUAAUUUUAUGAUGGAGACAUAAAGUUUCAUAAUACAUCAGAAAUUAGGGUAACAUGGUUACUUAUAGCAGAAACCCUAGUUAACCCUAAUCGUAAUUGGGUUCUCUCACUUAGGCUCAUGUAGGAACCUUCAUGCACAAACACCAGCCCAAGUGCACGCAGACUUCUACAUUGCUAACACUGGUUGUAGUCUUCAAUUACACAACAUGUAGAUCUCAACAUCAGCUUCUGGAUGCAGAACGUUACAUUCAACUAUUUGCUCAAACAGAUUGUAAGCUUUAGUGCAGCGUGUAAACCUACACACACAACCUCAAGAUGCAGCAUGUAAGCUUCAACAUACUGCAAGUAUCCUGCAUGCUGCCAGCAUGCUUGAUCGUGCAGCCUGCAUGCAUCUGCAGGCAUCAACACCAGGAAGCUUCUAUGCUUCAGGAUUCAAGACAUAUCAACAAAUCUCCACCUUGACUGGAAUCCUCCAAGAAGCUUCUACGCAUUAGGAUUUAAGGUGUAUCAACAAUACUAAUUUUUGGGUUUUUCAAGCCUAUGUUCAAUUUCCCGUUAGUAUGAUAUUGUCCGCUUUGGGUCCAAGUGUCAAAAUUCGCAUGAGUUUGUUUUUGGGUUUCUUCCUAAAAAGCCUCUUACUGAUUAUUAUUGGACAUGACUUAUAUAUUAGACACUGUUUAAAUUUCAGAUGUGGAAUCUUGGAUUAAUUCCUAACAAUAUGUGGAAACAGAGAAGUAUCCAUGGUGUUCACAGUUCAGAGAUAUUUAACUAUUAUAAUUUCAUGUGUUUCACCCCAAAAACAAAUUGAUAAUGAAUGUAUUGGCUAAUUCCCUUGUAUAUCACUUUAAUUUGUGUCAUCUUACUUUAAAUGUGAGAUUUUCGUAUAUGGAUUGAGUAAUGAUUUUUAUGAUGUGAUCAGAAGUUUUAGACAAGCCAUUGAUGCUUAGGAACCCUGUACCUCUCGUACCAAACAAACCAAUGACGAGGAACCAUGAGCAUAGCUUAUAAAUAGCCACUAACCAGUAUGUGUAGCACCUAAUGGAUGAUGUCAAGAGGAGCCAUACCGUGCCAUCCUUGGCCCAAUUGAUUGUGGACGGAGACGAUAAUUCCCAAAAAAUGGAGCAUACCAAAUCUUGGUAAGUCCAGACCAUUGAACAGGCCCACCAAGAUCAAAUAUCAGAUUAACGUAGCGAGGGCGAAUGUGAUCCUUUGAUGUAUCUAGAUAAUAAAUCAAGUGAAAAUUCCUCAGACUAACGUUUAAGGUUAAUGAAAUGACAAACCUAACCUAACAUAUUGAAGAGCUUACUAGACUAACCUUAUAAAGUUGGUUUAGGUCCAUUUUAUCCAGAUGUUGAAUAUUAUUACGAAAAUGCUAUUAUGAUUUUUUUUUUUAUAAAUUUUUUUUUUUUCGAAAAAACUUUAAUUUCGAAAAAAUUUUUAAAAAAAACUCGAAAUUUUUUUUGACGAAAAAAAAACAUUUUUUUAAAACGAAAAAAGCAAAAAAAAAAAAACAAAACCAAAAACUAAAAAAAAAGAGUUAUAUGAAUAUCUACCUAUAGAUAACUCGAAAUUAGUUUGUCAGAAUGAACACUGCUUUAAGCGUACUGUUUAGAAUAACUAUCCCACAUUACCCCUACUCUGACGUAUCUGGAUAGGGUCUGCGAUAACUGUUAUAACACGUUUAGCAGAUUUAGUUGUCGCAGUGGACCCCUACAUUACUGGCGUUUAUUGUUGCUUUAGGCAGAGAAAUUCUCGGGAAGAGUGGGAACUUUAAAUUUUGAAUGUUAAAUAUUUAAAAUAAUCUGGAAAAUAAAUUUUCAGGUUUGGGUGGAAGACGAGAAAUUUCCUACGCUAGGGUUUGUAAUCUCCAUUCAAUACCCAUAGAUAACGGCGAAAUUGUGAAGAAUUUCAUUCCCACCAAACGAUGGGUAGUUCUGACCACAACGAUGACGAGGAAACGCGAUCAGAAUCCAUGUCCGAAGAGGUAAAUUUCGAACGAUUAGAUGUAGAAUUACAGUUCAUUCGUUUUCGAGGUUUAGGUGAGUGGUUAGGGGAAUUGCAGUCCGAUUAACUCAUGAAUCGUAAUAUCCUGUAUAGAUGGCCGACUCUGGUCUUCCCCAACGGAUCUUCAUCCCUGAAGAAGUCCCCAAGGGAGACUGUGUGAACAUUUACCAGAAGAUGACGGUUAUAUCUGACAUCGAUGCCGCUUUGAGUCAGACAGAGAGGGAUUUUAUGAAGGCAUCUCAGUUUGGAAAACUGUUCGAGUUUGCAAACCAGCCUGCUUGGUCCGGCGCAUUCGGUUUGUUCACCCUCACCAGACUUCUUGACGUGAAGAAAGAAAACGAGAUCUGGCUGGUAUUUGCAGGGAAACCGAUUCGAUUCUGAAUCGGGGAGUUUAAAAUAGUGUCCAGUUUGAAAUGCGGGAAAUACCCAACAAGUCAGAAGAAAAAAAGGAGACUGCAUGUUGUUCCCGAGUACUUCAAGACUCUAUUCGGUGAUGAGAAGGAAGUCCCAGUGGAACGACCAAUCGAGAUAUUGCAGAAGAAAACUAGUUUAGAGACCCGGUUGAGACUGCGAUACGCGUGCCUUGCCAUAGUGGAUGCCUUUCUAAUGCCUUCUGUUCAUUUUUCUCGGUCAAAGGUGAGCAUGGAUCACGCCGAGAUGGUUGAAGACCUUGAUGCAUUUCUGCAGUACCCCUGGGGCCGGUUAUCCUUUGAUGUAAUGAUGAAUUCGAUAAAGGGCAGGAAUUUAGCACAGAUUUUAACAGCUAACAUUACUGUCGGAGGUUUGUUCCCUGCCUUACCAAUGGUUGUUUUAGAGGCCGUCCCUGCCAUUCAAGAAGAUGAUGACUCAUCUGAUGGGGAAGACAGUAGCCCAAGCAGGGGCGGUGCUCGCUUGCGUCCGCAGAAAGUUCAGCUUCAGUUGAAUAAAGCUAGAGUGCUUGACGAAGAUGAAAUGGUACGAAGUAAACCCUCUUAACUUGCUAAAUAUGUUACAAACGGUUUACUAGUUAACUGUUUACAAUUGCGAUAACUCUAUUAUCUUGCUUAUAAUGAACUUGUAUGCUACUAUAUAUUUGUUAGCUAUGAGACUUAAAUUAACCUGUAACAACUACGCUCUAGGUUUAGUAAAUUACUGUAUUCAACUGAAGUUGUCCUCGUUGGAACUGAUACUUAGCAGUACUAAGUUAUCAUUGAUAUAUAUGAGUAAGUUGUUACAUGAUAACAGGAUUUGAUGUGAUAAUCUGGAAAUGUGUUUAGUGUAUCGGAUAAUUAGUUUACCAUGUAACUGUUGGUAAUUGUAGUGUAAGUUAUCAUUGUUGGAUAUGAAAUUCACAAUUAUUCACUAUAUCGGUGUUAGAUUCGAUAUAGUGAUUCGAUCUUAACAAGAGUUGAUGUGCUCACUCUGAGGGAUUAGGCUCCUUUUUUGAUAAGUCGGUUAACCUGUAACAUUGUUUGGUUUAAUACUCAGUUAACAUGUAACAUUGGCCUGUUGCUGUAUUAGUUAUAGUGAUUGUUUAUGAUAAGUUACAAUACGUACGAUAUCAUUUUUAGAUAUGAUAAUAUAGUUGCCUGAUAACAAAAUUUGCAGUGUGUAUUCAGGGUAGCAUGUAACAUUUAACAGUUAGCGGCUAACAUACGUUUAUAAUUAUUGCGUUUGUCAAGGUCGCGGUUAACUCUAUCAUUCGGCCUGAUUUCGAAAUCAGCGACGGCGAGGAGGAUCUAUCCUGGAGCGAAGAUGAACAUGACGAAAGGGUCGACCAUAUGAUUACUCUUAUUAAUCAAGGAUUCGAAUUUAAGUCUGAAAUGUUUGGCCCUGGCAUUGAUCCUGAGUUUUUAGCAGCUCGUACAAGUUCUCGAAGGGGUGUUAAGAAGACAAAGAUUGUUGUUGGGAAGAAAGGUAAAGGGAAGAUGAGAAAGUCUGGUAGAAGUCGAGUCACAAACGUUGCACAUGACACUGACAAAGGAGUUAUGUUUUUUGAGGAGAAGUUGAAGACAAUGGUUUCAAAAAUCGUACAAGAAAAUAACAAGAAGAUAGAACAUAUGUUUGAAGCCAACAAUGUGAAGAUAAUUAAGGGUGUGACCCAGUGGUUUCUUGAUAACGCAGUUAUCGACCGCGAGGUCAAUAUAUGUCCAUCAUUCUCGGGCCUUAGCGCCGGUAAGUCAAGGUCUCGCAAGCAACCCCCUCCGAGCACUGCAAAUAAAUCGGGGGAAUUACCUUCGGUCCAAUCCGGAGCGCACCCUGAUGGUCAGGCCAAACAAAACUGCGACACUUCAUUUCCUAACUUAGACUUCUCCUCCAUGCCGACGGUUGACGAGAUUGUUUCCACAUACGCUCCCAGAGCUGAUGAUGCCACCAACACUGCAAGAGUUGGUAAGGGUACCGUUGACCCCAUAGGGGAAUGCAGUGUCGACGCUGUUGAUGGUGAGCAGGUUAUGACGCAUAACCCAGGCGAUGAUGGUGUCGUUUUGUCAGAAACCCGGCCUGAGAAGGUAGAAUUGUCAUGCCAAUUUAUCGGAAAACAUAGUGGGUGUCUGUAUAACGUAUCCAUAUUAAUGUGUUUGAUAGGACAAUGAUGGCGCCUCUCUCCCUCAAUUCAACCCACAAAAUGACGUGCCGAAGUCGUCAGAUGGUGUGAAUUUGCAGGAGGAGGUAUUUGCUUUAAGUUUUAGCUUUAAAUUUGAUGUUUUUUAUUUGUUCACUAUGCUCUAUUAAUCCGUGAAAAUAAUUACAUAGGAAAACCCUGAACAUGACGAUCCCUUGAAAUCAGGCCCUAAUUAUGUGCUAAUCCCCCCGGUGGGAGAGAACUUUAUUGAUGAGGUACAUGUUCCCGUUAUUACCCUAAAUUAUAGUCUUUAUAACCGUUUAUUAGACGCUAUUCUAGUUAUGUUGCAAUGCGGGAUUUCAAAGAUAAUUGUGAGCAAUUGAUAACCCGGUUACCACGGUAUGUAUAUUUUGGAUCACAAAUCCAACAUAUAGGGGCCAUAACUGUUAUAUAACUUAUAGAACAUGGGUAAUUUGAUUUACACUUAUUUCAAUGUUCGUAUAUUUAUAUUUUUGUCUUUGCUACGACCAUGUAUGUAGGUCGAUGGUGUUGGAGACGUCCAGCCUGAUGAGAUUGUAACCUCUGACAUUCCUGAACCCAAUGCUGUAAUUUCUGCUGGCGAAGAUAUUAUCGAUCCCAAAAAUCUGACUAUAAACUCGGAGGAGCAAGCCAAAGUGGAACAUGUUCAGAGGAGGGUGAGCAAGCGUCAGAGGACUGUAUCGACUCGAUUAGAUAGUCCUUUUCGAUGCGAGAAGCGUAUCAGAACUAUUAUAGAGAAUUCCGAAGCUGUCAAUGAUUCUGAGAAAGCCCUUCAAUAACGGUUUGAUAAAGCUAUGAAAGCAUUUAAGAAGUUAGUUAACUUCUGUUCCUCUAGUUAUAAAGAUUGUACGCUGAAUUGUGUAUUUAAAAAUUUGUUGGCCUCUGGCAUGUGGGGAAGGAAACCUUCUUACAUCGAAGGACCUAAACGAAAUGCUGGGGAGACAGAAACCAAUGCCUGCAAAGGUUUUCACUGAGAUUCUGUAACAAAGGUCUAUUAGCUGCUAACUUUAUUAAAUGCUAACCUAUUGCUUUCGUAUUUGAUUUAACCCAGGUUAUGGAUUCUCUAUGUUUGUUGGGGAGGCAUAUACUCCGCGAAGACAGUCGGCAGCCGAGAGUGGAUAUUUUGGAUUCGAAGUUUGUAUCGAUGUUAACCAAGUUAUACCCGAAGUUUAGCAGGACAGAUCCCCGAGCUGACUUUAAGUUUUCCAAAGCCGUCACCGAGAGACUAAAAGGUGUUGGGGAAGUUGAUCGGUUGCCGCUUUUCUCGGAUGCUGAUAUUCUCUAUCUGCCGUUUAAUCUCGAUAUCAAGCAUUGGGUAUUUCUUGUGGUUCAUCUCUCUACUUGCAAGAUUGAGGUUUUGGACUGUAACGCCAAUCUGCGUACGGAUGCAAGCAUGACUACUGAAAUCCGACCCAUCGCUGAAAUGCUUCCCUGUUUGUUUAUAGAGGUUGCAGAUAACGAAAAGAUGUCUCAGUUGUCUACUACCAAAUAUGAUAUUGAAAGGAUCACUGACGUACCACAGAUAAAGUCAACAAACGAUGAUGGUUUAGUGGCGUACUUCUUAAUGUUAUCUCAUGCCCUUUUCAGCAGAGAGGGUUCUAAGGAGUUCGACCUUACGCACAUUGACUUGGAGGCGAAGAAAGUCGUUACAGUUCUUAUUGAGCAAUACCUAUGAACUUUUAAGGAUUGUUGUUAGUCUUUGGGGACUUCGGUUUUCAUUUUCCUAGAGUUGCGGUGGAUAGACUUCUAUUUACUUUUCGGUUUAGAAACCCGCGUUACGUUGUUGUAUUGUCAGACAAAUUUUAUUUCGUUAUCUGGUUUAUCUUCUAAUUCGGAUUCAAUUUUAUUACGUAUUGGCCAAAAACAUCGUUAAUAGAUAUUUCUAUGGGUUAGAAAUUGCUUUAGGUUUAUUAAGUAAUAACUAAGUCAUCAGUUAAUGAAUACGAAUUACCAAGCAAUUUGUUAUCAACGUUAACGUGUAACCCAAAUAUUAACGGCUAACGUUUGCUUUUAUACGGGAUGACCCAUGUUUGAUUAAUGUUAACAUUUUAUGAUUUAGGGUUUAGGGUUUAGGGUUUAGAAUUUAGGGGUUAGGGUUAGGGUUUCCGCAAUAGGAAAUUGGGUUAAGGGUUUAGGGUUUAGGGUUUGGCUUUAUUUGGGUUCACCAUAUUCGAUAAGGUUUUAAGUUUUUGUUAGUCAGUAAGUAACUGAUUGAAUGCAAAAUAAUAUUUAACUUGGAGUUAGGGUUUACCAUUGAAUCAUUUGGGUUCCCCUAUUUCGAUUAGGUUUUUACUUUAACCGAAACCCGACGCUGAUAUACAUAUUAGGGUGUAAUCAAAUUAUAGGACAUUUCGUGUUAGGGGGUAUCUUUUGGAUUGACGUAUUUUGCUUAGAGUUUUAGUUUUACUUCAAGGGUUUAAAUAUAGACACUAGGGUUUAACCAAGUUAUAGUCAAAUUGGGUUUAGGGUGUAUUUUUGGAACAUUUGGGUUGACCUAUUUCGAUUAGGGUUUUAGUUUUACUCACAGCCGAAAGAGAUCUACACAUUAGAGUGUAACCAAGUUAUCGAAAUAUUGGUGUUAGGGGGUAUAUUUGGAUCAUUUGGGUUGACUAUUUCGAUUAGGGUUUAGUUUAGGGUGACUUAGAUACUCAUAUAACACAUAAACUUAAGUGACAGCCGAAAAAAAUAUACACACUAGGGUGUAUCUAAGUUAUAGUGUAAUUUGGUUUAGGGGGUAUCUUUGGAACAUUUGGGUUGAACAAAUUCGAUUAGGGUUUUAGUGUUACUCACAUUCGAAAGAGAUAUAUACAUUAUAGUGUAACCUAGUUAUACGAUAAGUGGUGUUAGGGGGUAUCUUUGGUUCAUUUGGGUUGACCUAUUUCGAUUAGGGUUUUAGUUAUACUCACAGCCGAAAGAGAUAUACACAUAAGAGUGUAACCAAGUUAUAGGAUAAGUGGUGUUAGGGGGUAUCUUUGGAUCAUUUGGGUUGACCUAUUUCGAUUAAGGUUUAGUUUAAGUGAAAGCCAAGAAGAUAUACAUGUUAGAGUGUAACCAAGGUAUAGUUAGGGUUUAGGUCGCGUAAUAACAGAAAAUAAGUAGUUCAUUAAAAGAUGCUCGGAGUUAGCUGGUACAUACGUUAUCCGCGAUAGUACAUAGUCGUCUUUAAACAUUAUUAAACUCGACGACAAACUACUACACCAUUCAAGACUUAUCAUACAUAUUGAAAUUAAGAGAUAACCCCUAACAUUCUAUUCCUUUGGACAACAAAAUGUGGAUAGAAUGAUAUGCAUCCAGCCGCCAAAAAUAAACCCCUUCCUUAGCACCAUUUUCUGACUAUUCUCCCUGUAUAAAAAGAGUAAAAAUUACAGAGUCACCAUAAUAUGUUAAUUGUUUAGAAGAAGAUGGUUUAUACCGGUAAUGGGGUCUUGCAGGUUGAACGGUUGUGUCUACGUCCUCGGCAUCUUGUGCAUUUUCUUCUGGAAACUCGCUGAGGUUUACAGGUAUAGGAAGUUAUGCGCUAAUCGAGUUACCGAUUACAUACUUCCUACUGAUUUAAAGAGGUAAAGUAUUUUGUACCUUGAAUUCUCCACGAGACAAUAUUCUCUGCUUUCGUGGCUUGCCUGGGGGUCGACGAACCGCUGGAGGUGCAAGUUUUCCUCCACCGACAUCUUCCGGUCGUGGAGCCAAAUGAUCCAUAUCAGGGACUGGCAUUAUAACCUUACCAUAUGCCAACCUGCGAUACUGAGUGGAGUAGUGUAUAUCGACCAAGCUAUCGACACGGACUCCCUCUUUUAUUGCCGCAGCUAUGGCAUGGCAACAUGGUAUGUGUAGAAGUUGGAAUUCCCUGCAACUACAACUCUGUUCCCACAUGGAUACUGCAAAAGCUGUAUCCAUCUCGUCAUGCACCUCGUAUAGUCCAUUUCCUGUAAUGUAAAAUUAGUGUUAGCAGAUAAAGACUACCGUCAACUGUAAAUGUUAACAGGUAAACAAUAUAUCUCAUAUCUUACCUAUUUUCAUGACGAAAUAUCCUGAAGACUUCUGAAAACUUUCAAUCAGCAUCUCUUGAAUCUUGGGAUUCACGACGUCAGUCUCAGUGUUUGCAGAAUCCCUUCUUAUCGCAAACCAAGAUACAAGUGUCGUUCUUAUAGUUUCCAAUAUAGAAAUGAUGGGGUACUCUCUUACCAUUGUCAUGACCUUGUUCAAAGAUUCAGAUAUGUUGCUCGUCAUCACAUUAUAGCGUUCCCCUACGAAAUGCGAUCUCGUCCAAUGCUCAAAACCAAUCCUCUGUAAAUAGUCCGCACACCUCUCGUCGAUCGCUUUAAUUUCCAUAAAUGCCUUCUCGAAAUCGCUAAAACGAUACGCCCUUCCAGCUACAGAAGUAAGAUGACUCAGAUGCUCCGAUUUGAAAUUAGUAACUACAUUUCGUUGUAAGUGAACAAUGCAUGCUCCAUGUGAAGACAUCGGGUACACCUGUUGGAGUCGAGAAAUGGAAACAGUUAGCAAGUUAACCAAUUAUUUAGCGACAUAUUUUGGUUUAUCACUAAUAGAUAUAAAUAUACGGUAACCCUGGAGUUUAGGCGCUAACCUUACGAAUGCUUGCAUAUAUGGAAGCAUGCCGAUCUGAGACGAAGACAAGGUCAUGUUCGUCUGGCACUAUUGCGGUCAGCUUUCUUAGGAACCAUUCCCAAGAGUCGUCGUUUUCACUGUUCACGAUCCCAAAGCCGAGAGGGAAGACUUGGAAGUUACCGUCUUGAGCACUUGCCGCCAUGAGACACCCACCAUAUCGUCCGGUUAAGUGUGUAGCAUCAAAGACAAUAACCUUCCUCAUGUACCUAUAUCCCUGAGCGCACGCAUGUAACGAGUAAAAUAGAUACUUGAAACGGACAACCCCUGAGGCUGAGGUUUCUGUCUCCAAAGCAACAACAGAAUUAGGGUGUGUCGUUAGUAGUUUUUCAAAGUAGGGGGUCACCAACGCAAAGCUUGCUGCAGCACCGCCUAAGGCGUUGUCCAAUGCGAUCUCUCUUGCUCUCCACGCCUUCCAAUAGCUGACGUGCAAGCUGUACUCUUGUCAAAGCAGACGGCGAAGAUCACACGCCCUUGGCCCCUUUAUGUUCAACCCAUAUCUUUCACGAACCAUUUUUCCAAUAACAUCCGUUGAAGCUACUCGGUGGAAAUCACCUCGGGCGUCGACGCUGCAGGUGUGAUUCCUGAUCACAGUUUUGACUUCAAAGCGUAAGCUGUCUUUUAUCUGUGUGGCAUAAAUCCUCCAAGGACAUGUCGGGCCAACGCAACAAACAAUGACGUUCUCAGGUUGUGAAUUGACGGUCUUGAAAUGAAACCUUCGAUUUAUUGCAUGCAGCGCGAGUUUCAACUUGCACUCUUCUUUCGUCUCAAAGAUUCUUCCAACGAAAAUGUCAUCUCCCUCGUACUGUGCAUCACCCAACCCUCUCGCUAUUUCAUCCGCUAACCAGUGUAAACAUUUAACCCAAUUAGCUAGAUAGCAUUUACAAUUCAUGUAAACUUGAAACAGACAUAAAUAUUGUUUACCUCCGAUAAUUGGGUCAUCGAAAUAUGGAGGUGCAUCCCUUUCGUGCAACGCUGGCUCUACUCUUGGUUCAGCGCCAACAGCUGGGGUGUGAAGCAAUAUUGGGGGAUUACCGGACAAUGACACGGGGGGGGGUAGGCAAACUGUGGUGUGUUUGCAGUUAAAGUUUGAUGUGUAGCCGGUAACUGUGAGAUGUUAGAUGCUACAUCGUUUCCUAUUGCUCCUAAUGGAUAAAUGUUAGUCGCUAGCAAAGCUCGACUCGGCCUUGAUGACCCACCAACUUCACGAGAUAGUAUUCCGUCUUCGGUCAUCACUCGUUUCUCUUUAUCGGCACCCGUAUUCUGCACAUCAACAGUCUGUUGCUCCAGAGCCGGUGCUUGAAGCAUUGGAUCUGGUUCCGGGUUGUCGUACAAAUGUGCGAUCAGAUCCUCUCCUGAAAUGGUACAUGACAAUAUAACAAUAUCAGGCAAUGUAGGAAAUAUUUACUACUAAUUUUUGUUUGAAAAUUAUGGCUGUUUUCAUACCUAUGAGUGACAUGCGGAUAUCAACCUCCUCCGCCGACAGAAGCUCUUCCUCAGAGAAUACAUGGCUGCUUGAUGAAGGCGUGGUAGAAGUCGAGGAAGAUGAAGACUCUACAACCGCUAUUGCCGUUUGUGUUGGUAUAACACAGUCUUCAGGUUCAUCAUCGAUGUAUGCACAGCUAAAGUUAGCUGAAGCCCUGGUUCGCGGCAAGCUGUUUGGAUCGUAGAGUUCUUUGGUGGUGCAUCAAUAUCCAUAUCUACAACUUUGUUUGUUACAGUGUUAACAGCAUCGUUAACUAUUUCCUCAGCAGCCCUCCCAAAUGGUCCUGGUGGUCCAUGAAAGAAACGCCAGAGCUCUGAUAGAUCUCGAGGGAGGAUAGUUUCUUGUUCUCGGCAUUCAAGAGUUGCGGCCGUUGAGAGUUCAACCAUAAUAUCUGAAACCAUUCAUAAAAAAAAAAGGAUAUGUAAGUUUCAUAUUACUGAAAGUAGUGUUUUGAUAAAGGGUGGUAAUGCGAUACCUUUUCCUUUUGACGAAGGGUUGGUAUAAGCAGCAAUUGUAGCCGAGCGGGCAACGUGUGUGAUAGUUAUACCUCGCUCACCACUAUUAGGAAAAGAGGUGUAGGAAAAAACUGGCCUCACAGGUGUGUUUACAUUACUUGGAAAACCUGUUCAAUGUUGUAGUAGAAAGACUUUUUAGUGACAAUAUUAUCCAUGAAUGUUAUUUAUUUUCUUCAGAGAUAUAGUGGAAUACCACUUAAAGGUGGUAGAACUGUCCUUGGACUGUCUGUUGGUGAUGAUGUCGAGGAGUAUUGCGCACCAUAAGGAACAAUGGACAUUUCACUUAGUAGUUGGUCCCGUGCGCUUUCUUUUUGCUUUAAUAAAANNNNNNNNNNNNNNNNNNNNNNNNNNNNNNNNNNNNNNNNNNNNNNNNNNNNNNNNNNNNNNNNNNNNNNNNNNNNNNNNNNNNNNNNNNNNNNNNNNNNUAAGUUAGCGUUUAAAUCAAGUGUUUCUGCAUUCAUAUUUCCAGUAAUUUUCGGACUGUCACGGUGAACCCUAACUCUAAGGAACACCUCAUCUAUGUCUGCCUUGAUCGCUAAAAAUAGAGCAGUAUCUUCAUCAUUCAAAAUGAGGAUAGGUGCUGCUUUACGCCAAUCAGGUCCCAGGAUCCAUCUCGGCCAAACGUAUGUCACCUCGACCUUGUCUUCCUCCACCAGUUUCAAACCGAUUUUGAUUACAUUUGUCAUCGAUUAGAAAGACUCUCUCUCGUUCAUUUCGACCGAUGCGUGUAUGCCGAUUUCGUCUGGUUCAUGGAUCCAACUCGCAUCACUUUGUUUUUUCCACACCCCUCGAAUUACGGAGACAUGUAGAGUCAUCGCACCUAAUUAUGUGAACAGAAAAGGUGAUGAUUAGAUAACUGAGAUAUCGAGAUUUGACGAUACUUUUGACAUUAUACAUAACCUGGUUAUAUGUAAGUUCGAAAAAACAGGGAUAACUAAGGAAAAAUACAGAGAAGUUACCAGCUGUAAUCGGAAAUCCAAGACCUUCCACCCUUAUUCAAUGUCCUCCAGAACCUGUUACAGAAGAAAACGAGGUUGCUCUGUAAUAAAUGAAGUAAAGAGUUGUGUUUCACUUUCAUUAACGCCGAUGCUUUAAAUAGAGGUCUAACUAAUAUUAAAAUAAUUGUUAUCGAUUAAACGUCACUAUUAGAGACAUUAGCGGCCAUGCAAUAAUUAGAUAUUGGGAAGAGAAGAAAUCCUUGUGUCAGGCGGCGGAUUUUCUCCAAAUAAACCUGCAGAAUCAGAACAUUAAAUGCUAUGUCGGGUAAGUAUAGCCUCCCAAAAUAUCGCUGGCCUUUUUGAGUAGGGGCAAAUCGGGGAACGAAAAAUUUUGUCCACAAUCUCUUCCCAAUUUAUUUUUAUAGUUACGUACAAACCUAAUUAUCUCCUCAAUUGUUAGUUUAUACCCAAGUCACCCAAAAAAAAAACCCUAAUUCAUCUUCUUCUCUCUCUCUUUCUCCUGCGCCGUUUUUUUUUCUCCCAUGGAGCUGCUCUUCUUCAUAACUUGGCAGCCUCCCUUUUUUCACAGCUUUCUCUUCACAGCUUUCCUUUUGUUUCACAGAUCCACACAGUUCUUGCCUCAAUCGCCGUUCAGAAACUUGUUCAGGUUUGUUUUUUUUCUUAUAUAUCCUCAUUUUUCUUAUUUUUUCUUCUUUCUUCUUCGUCUUCCUCUUUCCCUUCAUCUUCUACUUUCUGUUUGGCGGAGGAGGAGUUUUACUGUUGGUGUUAGAGAUUUCGGAAAUAUUGGCACGACUCUUAAGCGGCGUUCUCGCCGCAUCGCGCACAACCGCACUGGACAGAUGUUGUUUCGAAGAAAUGGUGGUGUCACGGAGGUUGACGGCGGUGUAAGUUUUUUUCUGUAAAACCCGCAACCCUAAUUUUUUUUGUUUCAGGUAAGUUUGGUAGAUAUAUUUGGAAAACGAUAAGUAGUUUGGUAGAUUUAUUGUAUUUUUUUGUUGUAAAGUUCAUAAUAUGUGAAAAUUAGUUUUUUUUAACAAAGGCAAAAAGAGUGUUUUGGGUAUGCUAGGUUAGUUUUGUAAAAAAAAUAAAAGUGCGCAAAACAAAUAAUAUAGAUACUUUCUAAAGUUAGUGUAGUAAUCCUUCCAUAAAUCAAUGGUCAAGUAUCCUUCUUUUUUUUUUUUGAACAUCAGUCGAGUAUUCUUCAAGAAAGCUCCAACACGUCUUGCCUCAUAUCAAUAUGGCACCAACGGCUAGUUUAUGUGUCCCAAAUCCAAGAAUCUCUAUGUAAAUUCUUGGAUCUCAUUCUUUUAUUCAAAAAUUUAAUAAUUUCAAAGAAAUUUAAAAAAUCAUCUAUUUUCUGCUUGUAGUUUUGUUUGGAUUUAGCACAUAGUACUUAGUGUGGAUUCCCAUUGCCUUUAUCACAGAUCAUUUUCAAAACUUCAAUCCAUAUCCAUCUUCUGUAUCAUUUUUUGUAUGGAUAAUCCUUGAAAGACCUUUUGGGUUAAAGAUUUCUUCUAACUUGGUCUAUCCCGUGAAUCCAUCGCUACCUUGUGUUUACAUCACUUUAUAUAUAAUAAUUAAGUCUCAUCUUCUUUCAAAUGUUUGAUUCCUUAGUCAUAUAUAAUGGUUUGUGCUGGUUUAUCAACAAUUUAUGAUGAAAUCACACAAAAAAAAAAAUUAUGAUGAAAUCGUUUGUGUUCUAUUAAUAUCUUUUUAAAACUCAAAUUGUUUUUCUUUCUUUUUGUGUAUGGAAUAUGAUAUAUUCUCUCAGUAGAAUCAAAGUUAUGGUAAGAUGAAUGUUUAAUUACUGAAUUCGACCGAGAUACAAAGAUUUCAUUUGAAGCUUUGUAAACACUAAGAACAAAAAUGAAAAAAAAAAGCACUCUAUGCGAACAAGGAUAUGCAAAAAAUGAAAUUCAAUCCUUUAAGAAGAUACUAUGAUCUAGCUAGGUCGAUAUCUCAGUGCACCAACCUAAAAUAGAUUGUGAGAAAAACCCUUUCAUUACAAGUCUUAGUUAAACCAACUCUCACCACUCAUGACCGCGUCAUAACGCCACCACCAUCCCCACCCGAACGCAAACGCGAACCACGUCCACUCCUCUUCAUAAGUUAACGUUUGCGGCCAAUCCUCGACCAACCCUGAAAAGGGCAUUUCCGUCUUUUCCUCCAAAUUCUUCACCGCAACAUCAUCCUUCUUCUCCACUUUUUCCUUUUCAAGAACCCUAGCAACAACACUUUUUGGAUCAUCUAGCUUCUCUUCGUUCUUUCUCAUCGACUUCAUGAUCAUCAUCGGUUUCUUAUGUUUAGGAAGAUAUUUCAUGCUCUCUUUGUGAACGUUCAUUCGAGCUUUCGCGGUCAUUCUCGCGUGUUUUGAAUGAUCCUUUCGAGUUUCCUCUCCUUUUCUUGAUUUAUUUCUCUCUUUGCCUUCAUACACCGAGCUUACUCGAGCUUUCUUCAUAGAAUCCACGUGCAUUCAUCACAUUUUAACACUAGUGUUUUAUACUUUAGAUAACUAAGGUAAUACUCAAAAGUUAUUUCCGUUUAUAAAACGCGUAGUCAGCAUCGAUAGAUUACUUGUUGUGCGUACACGUAUGAGUCUUCAACGACUUUGCUUUUUUUUUUUUCAAAAGAGCUCAAAAACUAUAAUGGUGAGAGCAAUGAAUCGAACACAAAAAAUAGAGAGAAAUUAAAAGCAUUAAAGAAUCGAGCACAAAUUUUCAACAGAAGAAAAAGAAUCGAACACAAAAAAAGGAAACAAGGAAAGAUAAUAAUUAAAGCUAUUAGAUGGAAAAGGGGAUAAACGUGAAGUUUUGGUUAUAUAACGAAAGUUGGUCAUUAAGAGAAAAUCAAGCAUUAAUUAAUGGUGCUCGAGCGUUUCUAUUGUGUAAUUAAAUGUAUCUCGUGUGCUUCUUUAGUUCUUUUGGGUAUGUGACUAUGUGUACACCCAUGCAUUCCAUAAUGUGGGGCCUACAUUUAACAACGUAAUACUUUUGUUUGACUUUUUUUUCAUGAGAACUUAAGAAUGGUUUCAUUAUCACAAAAUGUUUAUAUGUUUAAUUUAAGAAUGAUUCGCAAGAAUAAUACUCUUUACAAAAAGAAUUUGACAUCUAUCAUCAAAAAUAGUCAACUGAGAAAAUAACAGUAGUCCAAAGGUGGAAAAUAUCGAGAAAAUCCUUGUACAUGAGUCUGCAAAAACUGCAUCUCUUUCUUCUAUCACUAAAGGACAAAACAAAUAUCUAUCUUUUAACAAAACAGAUGACUAUUAUGACAACUAAAACAAAUGACUAUUUUUUUAAUCUUUGUUAACAAAUUAAAUAAUUACAACGACAAUGUAGAUGUUCAAGUAAAUUUUGUUUUGAAGAAUUAAAGCAUCAUAGUUAUAGUCGUCUAAAUGUGGAUAACUAAAUAUAUACACAUAAGAAAAUUUGAUUUUCAUAGUUAUGUUAAUGUAAGUGUUCGAAUAGAUGACUAAUGACGAAAUAGUAACCUCAAUGUAGACGACUAAUUCAUUACCAAAUCACUCACAAUAAAAACACAAGAGAAAAUUUUGAAAUACUAAAAUACCAUAGUUAUGUAGGUACUCAAAUAGGUGACUACUGACAAAAUAAUCGUGUAAAUGUAGAGGAUUAUAAAUAUAUACACAUAAGAAAGAAAAUUUUUGAAGCACUAAAGCAUCAUAGUUAUGUUAAUGUAGGUGCACGAGUAGAUGACCACUGAAGAAAUAGUUGUCUAAAUGUAGAUGAUUAUAAAUGUAUACACAAAAAAAAUCAUAGUUAUGUUAACGUAGGUACUCAAGUAGAUCAGUACUAACGAAAUAGACGUCUAAAUGUAGACGACUAACUCAUCACCAUAUCACUCAUAAUAAAUACAUAAGAAAGUAACCUGAAGCAUUAAAGCACUAAAGUUAUGUAGGUACUUGAGUAGGUAACUACCUACGAAAUAGUCAUGUAAAUGUAGACGACUAUAAAUGUAUACACAUAAGGAAGAAAUUUUUUGAAGCAAUAAAGCAUCAUAGUUAUGAUAAUGUAGGUGUUCAAGAAGAUGAUUACUGACGAAAUAGUCGUCUAAAUAUAGAUGAGUAAUUCAUCAUCAAAUCAAUAAACACAUAGAAAAAUAUUUAAAGCAUUAAAAUAUCAUAGUUAUGUAUGUUUUUGAGAAGGUGACUACUGACAAAAUAAUCGUAUAAAUGUAGACAACUUAUUCAUUAUCAAAAUCAUUAACAUUAAGUUUUUCUAGAAAAAAAAAAGAAAAUAAAGAAGAGCAAUAAAGUUUUUUUUUAAAAGAGAAAAUGUGGAGAGAGAAGAGAGAAAUUGAAUGUGUAAAUAAAAAAAAACAGAGAAAAAAUAAUUGAUAGUCCCAGCUAGUAAAAAGGUUUUGGGUAAUUUUUUAAGUAAUAAACUGAAUAUUAUAAUACAGUAAAACCUCUAUAAAUUAAUAAUGUCGGGACCUAAAUAUUUUAUUAAUUUAUCGUGAUAUUAAUUUAUUUAUAAAUUAAUAAUUAUUAAUUUAUAAAAACAAAUUUGCUUUCUGCUUAUAAUUUUCUAAAAAUUUAUUUGGAAUAAUGUUAUAUUUUAAAAUUUUAACAAAUUUUGUAAUGUAAAUUAUGUUUAACAAUCAUAACUAUCGCAAUAAAAUAGUUUUUAAUAUCAUAUUGGAUUAUCCAUGUAAAAAUAUAAAUGUUCAUAAGUUUAAAAUUUAUAAAAAGACUAUGGCUACUAUCCGUAUUAUUGAUGAUAAAAUUGAAGAUUACACUACAAUAUAUUUAAAAACAUUUACAGAUAAAAAAAUCAAUUAUCACAUUAAAAAUUAUCAUAAAUUUUGAAUGUUUAUCGUAAAACAUCAAUAGAAACUACUGAUAUAAUAACUAAAGAAAUAAGAUCCAUUGAGAUUUCAACUUUAAGUAAAAAAACAAACACAUUAGUCAUAUUUUAGAAUACUAUAUUUACAAAUAUUUGUAUAAAUGUAUAGAAUUAUUAAUUUAUGUUUUUGUUGGGACCAUAUAUUUACAUAGGGAUUUCAAAAAAAAUUAUUAUCUUAUUAUCUUAUCGAAUUUGAUGGAUUUUUACAUUGGUCCGACUUGGGACCAGUAAAAUUUAUUAAUUUAUAGUGAUUAUUAAUUUAUCGAGUAUUAAUUUAUAGAGAUUUUACUGUAGUACUAAUUUGAGCUCUGAAUCAUGUUUUCCAUCUAAUUUCUCUUAAUUUAAAACACUGAGGAUAACUUCUGGCCUAUUCUCAAUGCAGUUUAUCAAGAUAUACAUCUUCUCUCCCGAAUCGACGAUCAUAAGGUAACGUUUUCUCCACAUGCAAGUAAUGGAGUGGCGGACAGAUAGCUAAGGAGACUUUUUCAUUUAUGAAUAAUGUCCCUAAAUUAUAUUCUAUUUUGCCAAAUUGGAUCAUUCCCUUUGUCUUUGUUGAGGAAGAUAAGAACGCUUUGUAACUAAGAUUUGGGUAAUAUGAUUUGUUGAGCCAAAAAAAAAUACACAGAGAAUUAAUGCAAAAAUAUCCUAGACCAUUAGUUAUCUCUUAACAAAACAGAGGAUUACGUUUCGAAAAAAAUAAAAGUAGAGAAAUUAUAGCUACAAGGGUCUCUAUGAGUAUGAUAAGUACCUAACCUUGGCUGCACUAUCCUUACAUUUCCGAGCCAGCUGCUCGUUAUUGAAGUUCGACAUGGUUCCAAAGGACAAGUAAAUCACUGAAUCACAUUUCUUGGA
rnacentral:lncRNA from 1 species